UCCUCUAUCUCUAUCCCCCCUCUCUCCGCCCCACCCCUCUCUCUCCCGCUCGUCUCUCCGAUUCCGGCGAGCUCCGGCGGGAUUCGACGGCGCCCAGCACACCCACGUGACCCCCUCCCCCCGCUCCUCCAUCCCCUCCGACCAGAUCCGAUGCGCGCGUGGGAUCAGAUGUUGCUAGUGGUAGUUCGGGGCGUGCGGGCGGACCAGAUCGACCUCAAGACCCUCGACGAGCAGCUCGACCGCCACCUCGCGCGCGCCAGGACUGGGAGGCUGACCCCGCCAGGCUCGUCGUCCGGGCCGUCAUCGCGCGCGGCACCUUCGGCACCGUCCACCGCGGCGCCUUCGACGGCCUCGACGUCGCAGUGAAACUGCUUGAUUGGGGGAGGAUGGUCAUAGGUCAAAGCAAGAAAUAACAGCAAUAAGAGCAGCAUUUUCGCAAGAAGUCUCCGUCUGGCAUAAGCUUGAUCAUCCAAAUGUAACUAAGGUCUCUUCGUCAUGAUCUGGAUUGCCGCAGUCAUGUUCAAGUCCAAUGAUAUCUUGCGCAAGCAGACCGCUCUCAAGAUACAACGGUCCGGCAAGCUGCUAUGGUGGUCAAGUGUGUGCUGCCUAGGAAAAUAGAUAUUUAGUUUUAGGUCAUUUAUUGUAAUUUCAGAUAUGGAGUGCUUGUCUUUAGUUUUUGUUUUUACUUUGUGAAACUUGCUACCUAUGAAUGAAUUGUGUAAUAUUGAUGAAACUAUGUAUAUGUAUGGAUGAAACUUGCUACUA